rnacentral:rRNA from 1 species
AUUGAACGCUGGCGGCAUGCUUUACACAUGCAAGUCGAACGGUAACAGGCCUUCGGGUGCUGACGAGUGGCGAACGGGUGCGUAAUGCAUCGGAACGUACCCAGAGGUGGGGGAUAACGCAGCGAAAGCUGUGCUAAUACCGCAUGUGAUCUGAGGAUGAAAGCGGGGGACCGAGCAGCAAUGUUUGGCCUCGCGCCUUUGGAGCGGCCGAUGUCGGAUUAGCUAGUUGGUGGGGUAAAGGCCUACCAAGGCGACGAUCCGUAGCUGGUCUGAGAGGACGACCAGCCACACUGGGACUGAGACACGGCCCAGACUCCUACGGGAGGCAGCAGUGGGGAAUUUUGGACAAUGGGCGCAAGCCUGAUCCAGCAAUGCCGCGUGCGGGAGGAAGGCCUUCGGGUUGUAAACCGCUUUUGGCAGGAACGAAACGGUGUCCGCUAAUACCGGGCGCUAAUGACGGUACCUGCAGAAUAAGCACCGGCUAACUACGUG